CUCUUCUAUGAAAAUUCCAUUGUUUCUGCCGAAGCUUUGAUCAGUACUUCUCUUUUGCUUGAUCUCGGUUUUUGACCAGUUUAUUGCGUCGAUCAAUGCAUUGAAAGUGACUACAUCGGGGUUCCGAUUUUUUUUGUUCUUCAUAUGAUGAAGC
rnacentral:sRNA from 1 species